CCUUCUAUUGCAGGGCUGUACUGUGACAUCACAUUGCUGGCCAGUGUAGGCAAGGAAACUGCUACAAAGACCAUCAGGAGACAAGCGAUCUUAUACUCUUCUUCUGGACUAAUGUUCUCUAAAGAAAAAAGUAAGGAAUAAAAAUCAAGCUUUUCUUCAGGAUUAUUUGAAACUUAAAAGUAAAGGAUGGACGAACAGACAAUGACAGAAGACAGACAGAUAAACACACAUCUAUAUGAUAAACCAGGUAUAAAAUCAUGUCUUAACACUUGCAAUAACUGUGACUCUGUGUACAUCAUGUGAUUUAAAUACACUACGGAAUCAUAGCUGGGAUUAAAUGAGUGGUUUUUGAU